AUUGAACGCUGGCGGUAUGCUUAACACAUGCAAGUCGAACGAUGAGAAAGAGCUUGCUCUUUCGAUUAGUGGCGGACGGGUGCGUAACGCGUAGGAAUCUACCUAUUAGUGGGGGACAACUUAGGGAAACUUAAGCUAAUACCGCAUACGCCCUACGGGGGAAAGAAGGGGAUCGCAAGACCUUUUGCUAAUAGAUGAGCCUGCGUAGGAUUAGCUAGGUGGUGGGGUAAAAGCUCACCAAGGCGACGAUCCUUAACUGGUUUGAGAGAAUGAUCAGUCACACUGGAACUGAGACACGGUCCAGACUCCUACGGGAGGCAGCAGUGGGGAAUAUUGGACAAUGGGCGAAAGCCUGAUCCAGCAAUACCGCGUGUGUGAAGAAGGCCUUAGGGUUGUAAAGCACUUUCAAUUGGAAGGAAAACCUCGAAGCUAAUACCUUCGAGUUUGACAUUACCUUUAGAAGAAGCACCGGCUAACUCCGUGCCAGCAGCCGCUGUAACAC
rnacentral:rRNA from 1 species